rnacentral:rRNA from 2 species
UAAUACCAGCACCCCGAGUGGUCGGGACGAUUAUUGGGCCUAAAGCAUCCGUAGCCGGUUCUGCAAGUCCCCCGUUAAAUCCAGCUGCUCAACAGAUGGGCCGCGGAGGAUACUACAGAGCUAGGAGGCAGGAGAGGCAAGCGGUACUCAGUGGGUAGGGGUAAAAUCCGUUGAUCCAUUGAAGACCACCAGUGGCGAAGGCGG